AGGGGCGUAGCGCAGUCCGGUUAGCGCACUUGGUUUGGGACCAAGGGGUCGUAGGUUCGAAUCCUAUCGCCCCUA
rnacentral:tRNA from 1 species